rnacentral:rRNA from 1 species
ACAACAUGAAGGUAAAAUAAGGUAUUUAAUAAUCCUACAAAACAUUAUUAAACUUAGUAAGGGCGACCGAAAAUUAUUUUAUUAUUACCCUAGAGAAGUACUGUAAAGGAAUAUAAAUCAAUCCUAUGAAAAAAAAGAUUAAAUCUUGUACCUUUUGCAUCAUGGUUUAACUAGAAGUUCUCUUAGAUCUAGAUGUCUCGAAAUCUAGUGAGUUAUCCCCUUUCAGCCUACUAGGGAUAAAGAUUAGUUGUUGCAGAAACUUUCUCAGAAAAGGAGAUGGAAAUGAAAUUUUAUUCGCACUAGAUGAUAGCUAGUUCUUCUAAAAGGCAUAUAAGUGCCCUAGACUAAUUAUAUUUUAUUAUAAGGAAUAAAAUAGAUUUAGUUCAGUUAAACUUUUGAGGAUAAGCUCGAGAGUUAGAGUUUACUAGCAAUGCAUUUUAAUUUAAAUUUAAGCUUAAUAAUAGCUACAAUAAUGACUUUGUUACAAUUUCAUUUAAGCGCUAAAAAUAAUCAAUUUGCUUGAGAUACAACUGAAGGAAACUUAUAAACUAAAAUGAGUUGAAUAUAUGUUAAAAUGAGUAUUUAUAACCUAUAAAAUUUUAGUUUUAUAUAAUAAAAACUAAUGCUUUUAUAUCAAUUUUAAACUAUAAUAAGGAACUCGGCAAAUACAUAUUCUGCCUGUUUAUCAAAAACAUGGCUCUUUGUGAACUAAAGAUGGGGAGUCGGACCUGCCCAGUGAGCUUAUUUAACGGCCGCGGUACCCUGACCGUGCAAAGGUAGCAUAAUCAUUUGCCUUAUAAUUGAAGGCUAGUAUGAAUGGUUUGACAAGAAUAUAGCUGUCUCAUUAUAGUUAAGUAGAACUUUAUUUUCAGGUGAAGAAGCCUGUUUAGGAUUGAAAGACAAGAAGACCCUAUCGAGCUUUAAAGGAAUUAGUAGACUUAAAUUCCAUUAUACUAAAAGAUUGGCUAUUAAACAUUUUAGUUGGGGCGACCAAGGAACAAAAAAGCUUCUUUUAAACCUGACAUAGCUAGCAAGCAGCGAUCCAAAACAUUUUGAUCAAAGGAACUAGUUACCGUAGGGAUAACAGCAUUAUCUUUUUUAAGAGUUCUUAUCGAAAAAAAGGUUUGUGACCUCGAUGUUGGACCAGAAUGUCCUGAAGAUGCAGCAGUCUUCGAGGGUUGGUCUGUUCGACCAUUAAAAUUCUACGUGAUCUGAGUUCAGACCGGCGUGAGCCAGGUCAGUUUCUAUCUUCAAUUUUUAAUGUAAGCUUAGUACGAAAGGACCAGCUUAUCAUAACAUUUUAUUAAAGAUGACCUAGUAUAAUAUUAACUU